ensembl:snoRNA SNORA70 Small nucleolar RNA SNORA70
CUGCAGCCAAUUAAGCCGACUGAGUUCCUUUCCUCAUGGGGGCCCAGUGUGCAAUGGCUGCAAACAGCAGCUUCCCUGGUAGUGAUGCAGCCUGUUUGUUAUAUGGGUUGCUCUAAAGGACCUUGGAGACAGUC